AUAUAUCUUAAAUUUUCAGUUUCGACCAUGUUUGGUCACCAAAGCUCUACCGAACUGUAAUCUUUAGCAGAUAGCAGUCGAAUUUAAUUUCCUACCUUCCGGGUGUCAGAAUGUCAUGAAACUUUAAAUCUAUCCUUAUAAAAAUAAUCCUAACAUAUUUCCACAUUUUUGAAAUUUUCUGACACUGUGCAUUUUCUGCUAAAAUAACAGCCUCGAUUUACACAGAAAAUUCAAAAUCUUUUAUUCUCGCUCCGAUUUCCGCACGAGUCGAUCCCGACUUAUAUUUUACUUUUAUAAGUCCAAUAAAAAUAGUAUCUCACACUAUUUUUAUUUUUACCCUAUUUUAAAAUCCGGUAUGCUACAGUGCCGCCACCGGAACUGCCGCAAUACCCUCACCCUCAGCCGCAUCAGGCAUGCGCG
rnacentral:lncRNA from 1 species